rnacentral:pre_miRNA from 15 species
UCAGUCAUUGAAACGAGUAAAUCUCAUCCUAAUCUGGUAGCAUCUUUCGAACCUUGCCACCGAUUUGGCAUGGGAUUGACUUGUUAAAUAGUGACUUUUUU